ACAUGUCCCUAGAUGAGAUCUCUCCCUUGACCUUUAGCAUUGGAAAUACCAUGAAGCGUAUAUCUGUCAUAGUCUCAUCCAUUAUCAUUUUCCACACACCCGUCCAGCCUGUCAAUGCUCUUGGAGCGGCCAUCGCUGUCCUUGGAACCUUCUUGUAUUCCCAGGUAAUUUUCCCGCUUCUCUUGAUGAAUUUAGUAUGACACUUCAUAAUUCACCUUUUUCACCCCUGAGAUCUUCAAAAAGACAUGCAUGCCCUUGAGACAAUUCUGUAUGCAACGUACUGAAAUUUUAUCUGUAUACAUUUUUCCCCUAUCAAUUGUCUGAAUGUUAACGAUGCCAAAUGGAAAGCUGAAAAUGCUUUCGGUGGGAAUAAGAUGUAUAUCACGGGCUCAUGAGAGAGUAUUCAUGUUGCAUCCUAAGCGUAAAAAGCUGCCUCCUCUAUACGUUUCAGAAAUAUCAGUCGCCUGCUUAAGAAAUAUACAAUACACAUACAAUAUAGCCGGACCACACUACCGAAUUAAUCUCAACUUACUCUUGGCAGUUAAUGCUUUUGAAUACAAAAGAAAGUUGAAUAUCAGAUGCAAGGGUAGUUGAACUCCUGAUCCAAGAUUUAGGGAACUGGCAUGUGCUUCUCCUCUGAUAAUUACAGAUAUGGGAGAUCGAUCUUUUACCUACAUCACGUGCACAAUGUGAUGAUUAGCUUCAGUUCAAGGGAAAUUUUACGACAACUUCAGUCAGCGUGCUAUAGUGACUUUGAGAGUUAUGUAAAAUUGGCAAUAAAUGGAUCGAGAUUUUACGGGAUUGUGUUUGACUGUUAGAUGCGGUAGGAAAUGUAAUUCCUGCACAUUUCUUUUCAUCAUCUAAUCUUGCAGCAUGGUAGUCACUGACAGUAGAGACGUCAACUGACUGCAGCAAGCAAGCACUUGAACAAGUUAAUGAUGGGGUUAGGUGUUAACUACCAAUUUUGAAAGCUGAUCGCCUAGGUGACGUAAUAUUUUUGGAGUUAGUUGACUUAAACAUUGUCUGUUAGUUAGGUUGGACCAUACAGAAUGCCUACCUAACAUUAAGAAUUUUGUAAGGUAGGUUCCUAUUAUUUAUUUCUCUUUGUGAAGACACAACGUUUUCAAUCUGUUCCUAGGUACACCUACUGUUUUUGUCUUGGAACAUUCUUGGUUUCUUCCUUCAGAGGAAGAGAUCUCUGCUUAAGAUUCUAAAUCUUGUUAACCCACUGGUAAACAUGAUUUAUCUAUGUAAUUUAAUCAUUUGUUUUGGUUUUUUGCAGGCUAAGCAGUGAUUGCACCAGACUUGGCAAUUUUAAACUCCUCAUGUAAUAUAUGAUGAGAGAACAAGCAUGUCGACAGCCGGAGACCUUCAGAUUAGGGUGGUGGUGUGUCAAUAACUAUCCGCCGGUUGAUAAUAAAAGACAAAUAAUGGAAGUCAUUAUAUAUUUAGUAGUUUUAGUUCUGUAUAUUUUUCAAGAAUAAUUGGCAGUACAUGGAAAUUGGAAUGAGUGAAG
rnacentral:lncRNA from 1 species